AUUGAACGCUGGCGGCAGGCCUAACACAUGCAAGUCGAACGGGUCGCGGGCGGGUGAGAUAUGUCUGUGACCCUGCCUGAUGGAGGGGUAUACCUACUGGAAACGGUAACUACUACCGCAUUCCAUCGGAUGUGCCCAGAUGGGCUUAGCGUGUUGGUGGGGUAACGGCUCACCAGGGCGACGAUCCCGAGCUGGUCUGAGAGGAUGACGAGCCACACUGGAACUGAGACACGGCCCAGACUCUUACGGGAGGAAGCAGAGGGGAAUUGGGGAAAAUGGGCGAAAGCCGGACGCAGACAUGCCGCGUGUAUGAGGAAGGCCUUCGGGUUGUAAAGUACUUUCAGAGGGGAGGCGUUACCUGAAGAAGAAGCGCCGGCUAACUACGUGCCAGCAGCCGCGGUAAUAC
rnacentral:rRNA from 1 species